rnacentral:misc_RNA from 1 species
AAGUCGUAACAAGGUUUCCGUAGGUGAACCUGCGGAAGGAUCAUUAAUGAAUUAUGAAAGGGGUUGUCGCUGGCUGUUAGCAGCAUGUGCACGCUCUGAUCAUUAUCCAUCUUACACACCUGUGCACACACUGUAAGUCGGCUUUUGAUGCAAAGUAAGGGUCUUCAUUGACUCUGCUUUAAAUUGGGAGCCUGCUUAUGUUUUAUCACACACUACUUCAGUUUAAAGAAUGUCAAAUCGCGUUUAGCGCAUUUAAAUACAA